CCUUUGUCUCAUCACACUGCCCUCCACUCUCUCCUUCUUUCCAUUUAAAUGACAGUCGUCGCAUUACGCCAUUCAAUGUGACAGCCGUCUUCUGCCACAGCAUAUUACCUUGUGUGACAGACGACCAGGAGUUUACAGAGGAAAGAAUACAUCAAAAACUACACACCAAUGAAGAGAAGAGCACACAAAUGUUGGUGAGAAUUCUGAGAACUUCAUCAAAGUACAUGAGCCAUAAUGGAGUUCUGUCCUCUUGUCCAUUUAUAACACAACACACAGGGAGACAUCUGAAGAUCUCCGGUGAAGCUGGAACCAGACUAGAGGAACAAAACCACAUACAUGUGUGAAUUUGGGAAAUAACCGAGAAGGAGAGAUUGACACCUCUGCAAAAACUCCAGAAGAAAGCUGGAAGGAUAUGUUCAUGUGUCUCUGUCUGAAAACCAGGAGCAAAGAAGAAGGACAAACCAACACACCUCACAUAAUCAGAGGCUAAGCUAGAUGAGCAAUUCCACAAUCCUCUAAAAAUUCUGGAACAAAAGUAAAAGGAGCAACACACACACACACACAUCUGCAGGAAUUCCAAAAUCACACCAGAAGGGGAAAUUCACAAAACUCUGGGAAGUACAAACUCAAACGAUAAGGACAAAUCUGCACAUCUCCAGUAAAUCUGAAACUAGACCACAGGCAGGGACCUACAGACCUCUGAGAAAUGUAAAACUUCAAUAGAUUGACUUCUGGUAAUUCUACAAUCAAAGAAUAUGAAGAAGAAAUCUAAACAUUUCUUAUAUGAUUGAAACCAAACAACAGGGAGAAAUCUACACACUGCUGAAAAUCCUGGACCAAAAUUACAAGGCGCAAAUCAAGCAAUACUGGAAACAAACUAGAGGAAGAAAAGCCCCCAAACCAACAUUGGAUUCUUGAUCAAAACUCGAUGAAGAAAUCCACAAACCUCUGGGAAUUUUGAAACUCAUCUAGCAAAAGAAAUUCACAAAUCUUCAGUUAAUCUGCAACUACAAACUUGGAGAAAUCCCUGACUGAAACUAGAGGGGCUGAUCCACCAUCACGUUAAAGACUUUCUGACAGAGACGGACAGACGAGGCUGUAAACUGAUCCCAUGUCGCUCACUGGGUUUCUAAUCCUACUGUUCAGCCUUUUUUACUGUUCACUUGGUCAGGUGUACCAUGCCAAAAUGCCUUCAGAGAUCCAAGCUCUGACUGGCUCCUGUCUGGUGAUCCCUUGUACCUUCACCUCGCCUCAAAGACACUCUUAUCUAGUUGGCAUCUGGAGAAUGAACCAUUACUGGUUUGGGGUGGAUGUCUUCAAGGAGAGCCAGUCACUAGAAAACUGGAGUGGCCUGAAGGUCGCCAUCAUUGGUGACCUGCAACUGAGGAACUGCACCACACAGCUGGACAGGAUCAGACUUGAGAAUCAGGGGGUGUAUUACUUCAAGAUUGAAGAAUAU